rnacentral:rRNA from 1 species
AUGCUUAAAAUAGAUCUUGCCAAAGCUUUUGAUAGACUCGAGUGGAAUUUCAUUGUUGCUGCUCUUGCACGUAAAGGGUUGCACGGUCAUUUUAUUAAUUUAGUCAACUCAUGUGUUUCUUCGCCGACUUUUUCUGUUGUCAUUAAUGGUCAACCGUUUGCGAGAUUCAGAGGAGACAGAGGUGUUCGACAAGGUUGUCCCCUGUCCCCAUACCUUUUUGUCCUAGCAAUCAAUGAACUUUCAAUUGCUCUACAAGAGGCCAUGGCAGCUAACUAUUUUGAAGGUAUAACUCUGGGACCAAAUUGCCCUGCUAUACACUCUCUCCUUUUUGCAGAUGAUCUACUUGUUUGUGGAAAGGAUACAGUACAAGAAGCAACUAGAAUGAAGCAGAUCUUGCAUGAUUUCUGC